UACGUAGGGGGCAAGCGUUGUUCGGAAUGACUGGGCGUAAAGGGUGCGUAGGCGGUGUAGCAAGUUAGAAGUGAAAUACCUAGAGCUUAACUCAGGUGCUGCUUCUAAAACUGCUAUACUUGAGUGCAGUAGAGGAAAGUGGAAUUCCUAGUGUAGCGGUGGAAUGCGUAGAUAUUAGGAGGAACAUCAGUGGCGAAGGCGACUUACUGGACUGUAACUGACGCUGAGGCACGAAAGUGUGGGGAGCAAACAGG
rnacentral:rRNA from 1 species